rnacentral:lncRNA from 1 species
CCAAAAAUAUGUCUAUUCACACAGAUUGCCACGAUAUGACUACAUACUUAAUACCUAAAUACCUAAAUACUUAAUACCUAAAUCAAAAUCAGGAGACUUACUAUUGAAAGUUGACUGAGCUCAUGAAAAAAGCCAAGAGUAGAGAGGCAUCGACGUGCAUUGAUUUCUUCAUGUAUGUCCUUCUUUCAUGUGCUGGUGCUCUGCCAAAACCAGAAUUUCAAUGCAUCACUUUCCAGUCUACAUCAUUGCUCACAAAAUAACCACUAACUAUAUAAAACUUUUGUUUUCAUGUAGUAACAAUUCUCAGUGAUGAAUAAAAAUAGAAAGUCAUUAAAACUUUUCUCCCACACUGUUUAUUAUACUAAAAACUACGGCUCUGACAUCACUAAAAUUUCUCUCUCAUUUUUUCUUCUUCACCCCCAACCCUCUACUUUACCAUCUACUUUCAGAAAUCUCUGUAGAAAAAGUCUCAAGGACAAUUUGGUGUCCUAUUUCAGAGGAAGAAUAAAACACUUCCUGCUCCAGAAACAUGGGAUGAGUUUUAUGAAAGUUUUCCAACUAAGAAAGGAUCCAAAGUGUAAAUUUGAAAAGGUGCUGGAAUUCACUGGGAAGCAAUCAGAUGAAAUUCUAGACUAAAGUGACAAUCACACCUUCUUUGGUGUAGUGAAGAAGAAUCCAAUGACAGACAAUUCAUUAGUUCCACCAAAUUCAUAAGCCACUCCAUUUCUCCACUCGUGUGGAAAUGUUUUCACAUUUUUCUCAUAUAUUCUAGGUCAUCUGGAAUUUUACUAUUUUCUUCUAUAAUGAUUGAACAAAAGAUAUCUGACCUUAAAAACAUUCAAAGGGGAAAGCCAUUUUAAACAGCUGCUGAGUAUUGAAGAGGCAGAGGGGAGAUGAGGUGAAUUAGAAGAUAAAAUUAUGGAAAAAGAGAAAGUUGAGAAAAAGAUUCAGGAGUAUGAGGGGAGAAUUAGAGAACUAAGUGAUGCAAUCAAACAGAACAAUAUCUGUAUCAUAGGAAUUCCAGAAAAAGAAGAGAGAGAAAAGGGGGCUGAAGGUGUACUUGAACAAAUCAUAGCUGAGAACUUCCCUGAUCUGGGGAAGGAAACAGGCAUUGAAAUCCAAGAGGCACAGAGAACUCCCUUCAGAUGUAACUUGAAUCAAUCUUCUGCAUGACAUAUCAUAGUGAAACUGGCAAAAUACAAGGAUAAAGACAAAAUUCUGAAAGAAGCUAGGCAUAAAUGGGCCUUAACAUACAAAGGUAGAUAUACAGGUAGUAGCAGACCUAUCUACUGAAACUUGGCAGGCCAGAAAGGAAUGGCAGGAAAUCUUCAAUGUGAUGAACAGAAAAAAUAUGCAGCCAAGAAUCCUUUAUCCAGCAAGUCUGUCAUUCAGAAUAGAAGGAGAGAUAAAGGUUUUCCCAAACAAACAAAAACUGCAGGAAUUCAUCACCACCCUACCAGACCUACAAGAGAUCCUAAGGGGGACACUGUGAAUGAAAUGUUGCAAGGACCACAGAGUACCAGAGAUAUCACUACAAGCAAGAAACCUACAGAUAUCACAAUGACUCUAGCCCAUAUCUUUCAAUAAUAACACUGAAUGUAAAUGAACUAAAUGCUCCAAUCAAAAGACAUAGGGUAUGAGAAUGGAUAAAGAAACAAGACCCAUCUAUUUGCUGUCUACAAGAGACACAUUUUAGACCUGAGGACACCUUCAGAUUGAAAGUGAGGGGAUGGAGAGCUAUCUAUCAUGUUACUGGAAGUCAAAACAAAGCUGGAGUAGCCAUACUUAUAUCAGACAAACUAGACUUUAAAUUAAAGGCUGUAACAAGAGAUGAAGAAGGACAUUAUAUCAUAUUUACAGGGUCUAUACAUGAAGAAGAGCUAAAAAUUAUAAAUGUCUAUGCACCAAAUUCAGGAGAACCCAAAUAUAUAAAACAAUCACAAACAUAAGCAACCUUAUUGAUAAGAGGGUGGUAAUUGCAGGGGACUUUAAUACUCCACUUACAACAAUGGAUAGAUCAUCUAGACAGAGAAUCAAUAAAGAAACAAGGGCCCUGAAUGAUACA